rnacentral:lncRNA from 1 species
GGAAGAACUUCACCCUGAGUCAUUAAGUUAAUGGCUUGGCUGUCACAUUGUGAUUUAUCGGUGAAAUUGCUCUUUUGAGUGCAGAGCAUAUAAAAGGAUAGUCAGUUUAUAAUCCAUGCUGUUGCAUAGUGGCAAUGGUCACGGAUAAGACGGACACUUCAGGAAGCAAGAUUACCACACAGCACGUCCUGCGGGUCAGGCGAAAUAUGGAGAAGGUAACACGCUUGCUUCCUACUGAAAUGUGUGUCUUGUGUCUAGAUUUCCUUCAGUUACCAAGGUCUGACCAUUUUAAUUCCUCGGAUGUAAUAGAAAAGGUCUGCCUGGAACACAAGUCAGAUUUGUUAAAAUCACUUCUAAAGGGUACCUUUAAGUCAGGUGGCAUUUGGAUAUAUAAAUAAUUGCUUGAACAUGCAUUUGCCAAAUAGGUUUAUUAUUAUUGCCAUAUUAAGAGCGAGUCUUCCUUUUGUGGAGAGGGAUAUAAUAGUCUCAUUCAAGCCCAAUUCUAUUGAACACAACAUUUUUUUUAACUGGCUCCUCUUACUUGGAUUCCUUGUUUAAGUGUGCUAAGUAGCCUUCUAAGAUGGUCCCCAACUAUUCCCAAGUCCUGGUAUGCGGGUCCUUAUGUAACCCUGUCUUCCUGAGUGUGAGCUUGGCUUAGUGACUGGCUUCUAACAAACAGAAUAUGGCAAUUGUCGUGGGAUAUCACUUCUGAGAGUAGAUUAUAAAGACUGACUUCCAUCUAGCUGCUGCUCUCUGGCUAUCUCACUGCUGCCAUGUUGUGAGCAGCAUAAUGGAGAGGCCCUGUGGGGUAAGGGGGUGAAGGUGGGCAGCCUCUGGCCAACAGCCCACAAGUCAUAAGAGGCCCUGAGUCAAACAUGCAAUGUGCAAG